rnacentral:misc_RNA from 1 species
CUUCGAUGCCGCGAUGCUGGUCGGCCUGUUUCAGUUCGACCGGGAAGAGCUGCUGGCCGGCAUGCUGCUGUUCCGGGUGCUUUAUUAUCUCGUCCCGUUCAUUAUUUCUGUCAUCUUGCUCUCGCUUCGAGAGCUUAUNCUUCGGGCGAAGCGAGUCUCAGCGGCCCUGAAAAGGCUCGACGAAGCCGCGAAAUCUCCGU